rnacentral:rRNA from 1 species
UGGGGAAUAUUGGACAAUGGGGGCAACCCUGAUCCAGCGAUGCCGCGUGUGUGAAGAAGGCCUGAGGGUUGUAAAGCACUUUUGUUGUGGAGAAGAGGUGGUAGGUUAAGAGCUAACCACUGAGAUGUAACACAAAGAAAAAGCACCGGCUAACUCCGUGCCAGCAGCCGCGGUAAUACGGAGGGUGCGAGCGUUAAUCGGAAUAACUGGGCGUAAAGGGUGCGUAGGUGGUUUAUUAAGUUAGCUGUAAAAAUCCUGAGCUUAACUUAGGGCGGUCAGCUAAUACUGGUGGACUAGAGUAUAGGAGAGGGUAGUGGAAUUUCCGGUGUAGCGGUGAAAUGCGUAGAGAUCGGAAGGAACACCAGUGGCGAAGGCGGCUACCUGGCCGGAUACUGACACUGAAGCACGAAAGCGUGGGGAGCAAACAGGAUUAGAUACCCCCGUAGUCC